GUGGGGAAUAUUGGACAAUGGGCGAAAGCCUGAUCCAGCAAUGCCGCGUGAGUGAUGAAGGCCUUAGGGUUGUAAAGCUCUUUUACCAGGGAUGAUAAUGACAGUACCUGGAGAAUAAGCUCCGGCUAACUCCGUGCCAGCAGCCGCGGUAAUACGGAGGGAGCUAGCGUUGUUCGGAAUUACUGGGCGUAAAGCGCACGUAGGCGGUUACUCAAGUAAGAGGUGAAAGCCCGGGGCUCAACCCCGGAAUUGCCUUUGAAACUGGAAAACUUGAAUCUUGGAGAGGUCAGUGGAAUUCCGAGUGUAGAGGUGAAAUUCGUAGAUAUUCGGAAGAACACCAGUGGCGAAGGCGACUGACUGGACAAGUAUUGACGCUGAGGUGCGAAAGCGUGGGGAGCAAACAGGAUUAGAAACCCUGGUAGUCC
rnacentral:rRNA from 1 species